rnacentral:lncRNA from 1 species
GGGACCAGCUUCUGGAGACGGGUGGUCCAGGUGACAGCCAGCACAGAUCACCAGACCUGUGCGUGAAGCCAUAUACCCCUGGUGGGGCCGCCCAGAGGACAGCAGGAGAACUACUCGGAUGGACCCAGUUCACAUUGCUGACCCACGGGAUUGUGAGCAAAGAAAAGAAUGUCUGUGUUCCCGGCGCUGAGGUUUGGAGUGAUUUUCCACGCAGGAGCUGAUAACAGACACCUGGAGAGGAGUGCGACCAGGGAAACUCGAGAAGGCUCAGGCUGCAGCACUCGGGCUCUGGUGCCUGGUGUCUGCUUGUGUCCAUGGCUCUCAGAGGCAAGGCUGCGUGUCCCUACUUGGAGGAAGCUGCAGGCUCCCUGCCUGCCUAGGAGGCCACCUUUUCUGGCUCAGGGGGGCUGGUGGUAUGUGGUCCCCGUGGGACACUCACUUCAGAGAAGCACUUGCAGCCCCUUGGGCCUGUUCCCCUGAGAUCCCUGAGACAGGCCCCAGGACUUCAGCACAGAAUGGAUUGGGCACAGAACGUUUUGUGGGGGUUGCUGCUGGGGCUUUCUUGCACCUGCUCUAAACAGCCUUCUAAGCUAGUUUACUCUGGGUCCUACUGGCUGACUGCUGUUUUCAUGAUGGAGAUUGAGAAUUGAAAUGCUUUCCCUACUUUUCCCUCUCCUCAUUCCCUCAACCCACAUUCUCCUUGCCUUCCUGCUCCAGCCUGCAUUUGGCUGGAGCAUUUCCCAGCUCUGUGAAGCCAAAUCAUGCCUAGCUAGGAAUCGGGGGCUUGGAUUCUGUCCCUGAGUCACUGGGAUCUCAAGUGAGCUUCUUCAUCCCUCAGCAUUCUGGAGUCUGUUGAAGCCUGGCAACUUCCAGGGCAAGUCUUGGACAAUAAGUUGUAAUUGCAGGUGACCCUCGAACAGCAUGGGGGUUAGGGGCACCGACCUCCCGUGAAGUCGGAAAUCCGCGUGUGACUUUACAGUUGGCCCUCCAUACCCACGGUGCUGCAUCUGCGGAUUCAACCAACUGCAGAUUGUGUAGUAAUGUAGUACAUAUUUAUUGAAAAAGAUCUGAUAUAAGUGACUCGUGCAGUGAAAUCCAUGUUGUUCAAGGGUCAGCUGUACUCUCCAUCAAUUUCAGCUGAUAACAUAAUAGCAGUUACCACGUCCCAUGGCAGGCGGCCAGUUGCCUGUUCCUAGAGCAGCUUGCACACAGCUUGUGGGAGCAAGGAUCCUAUUUUCUGAAUACUGGGAUCCGUGUUCUGAACCCUGGUUACUGCUUCUGAUCGUGGAGGUGCAGACAGGCACGCAGUCAUGAUCGCACAGCCCCACCAUCAUUGCAAGCCCUUUCCCCUCAACGGAAGCAACACUGGGAGAUUUAAAGGGCCAACGAUUUUUUUUUUUUUGAUCCACCCUCCCCACCCCCUCAUUUUCCUUUUCCCCUUUUGGGAGCCAGACAUUGAAGACAAGGGCAUUCAAGAGCAACUACAGACAGAAUUAGCCAGGGGAAGGCACAGACUCAGAAAAUGUCGGAGAAAACCUUAAAUUUACACCUCACGCUGAUCCUUCACACACAGAUGGUCCUGUAACCAUCAAACAGCAAACGCUGGGGAAGGGGGAGAAUCUGAUUUUCAGAAUGACCACAUUAUUAGACUCAAAUGUUGGUUUCAACAGCAACAAAAAUCACAAGGCAUACAAAGAAAUGGCCUAUUCAAAGGGGAAAAAACCAACAGAAACUUUCCCUGAGAAAGACCAGAUGGCAGACCUACUAGACAAAGUUUAAAAACAACUGUUAUAAAGAAGCUCAAAGAACUAAAGGAAGAUGAGGGAAAAGUCAAGAAAACGAUAUGUGAAUCAAGUGGAAAUCGCAAUAUAGAGCUAGAAAACCUAACAGGAAACUCGAAACAAUUCUAAAGUUGAAAACAAUAAUGAUGGAAAUGAAUAAUUCACCAAAGAGAUUCAACAGCAGAUUUGAGCAGGCAGAAGAAUGCUCACAUCUUGAAGGCAGAAUACCUGAAAUUAUCGAGUCUGAGGAACAGAAAGAAAAGAGAUGGAUGAAAAGUGAACAGAGCCCAAGGGACCAGUGGGACCAUCAAGCAGAUCUAUGCACACACUGUGAGACUCCCAGACGGAAAAGAGAGAAAGGGGCAGAGAGAAUAUGUGAAGAAAUAAUGGCCAAAAACUUCCCAAGUUUUAUGAAAGACAUAAACAUCCAAGAAGCUCAACAAACUCCAUGUAAGAUGAACUCAGAGACCCACACAAAGACACGUGAUAAUGAAACCAUCAAAAGCCCAAGAAAAUCUGGAAAGCAGCAAGAGAGAAGCAACUCAGCACAUGUAGGGGGUCCUCAAUAAGGUAAUGAGCAGACUUCUCAUCAGAAACAUUGGCAUCCGGAAGGCAGUGGGUUGAUAAGCUAAAAAAAAAAACGCCACAGUCAGGAAUCCCACAUCUGGGGCUUCCCUGGCGGCGCAGUGGUGAAGAAUCCACCUGCCAGUGCAGGGGACACAGGUUCGUGCCCCGGUCCAGGAAGAUCCCACAUGCCGUGGAGCACCUAAGCCCGUGCGCCACAACUACCUAGCCUGCACUCUAGAGCCCGUGCUCUGCAACAAGAGAAGCCACUGCAAUGAGAAGACCGCGCACUGCAAUGAAGAGUAGCCCUUGCUCGCUGAAACUAGAGAAAGACCGUGCAGCUACGAAGACCCAGCACGGCC